UGUGGCUGAUUGCUGAGGGGAAGCCAAGUGUGGUGAGCGUGGAGAGGAAUCUGGGCUGGGUGAACUAGGAAGCUGCUGCUCUGAGAUUUUGCUUUAUGUUGAGACUCUCCCAGUCCUCACACCUUCCCAGAAGGAAAGGACCAUUCCUCUCCUCUCAUGUCUCUUUAAUGUUAAAGAAGAGGAGGCAUGAAAAGUUUAGAUAAUGCUAAGCCACUGCAGCAGAUGCUGCCGAGCAAAGCUGUGACAGAGCUCGGCCACAGAGAGCAGCAAAUCCGAGUGGGACGAAACCUGAGCAAAUGAGAAUCCUGCUCCCUGCUUGAAGAGAGAUCACCUUAUAUGGGAACACCAUGGACAAGAGGAUGAAUGCAUCCGGCUGGCUGCUGAGACUCCUGGGAUUUACAAGUUGGACCUUGAGGGCUCUGCACCUUUCCAGCCUCACCUCCUGUGUGUACAGUGUCAGUGGUCGCCUCACAGCUCUCCCGGCCCCCUGGACCAGAUUCACACAGUUGGCUCAGAACACACUGAGCAGCUGCAGCUUUGUGUGACUCUGCACAGCAGGAGAGGCACAGCCAAGACAGUUGUCUAGCCACUUCUCACAGACUCUGUCAGGAGAGGAUGAUGUUAACAGCUCAGUAAGUACCAGUGUGAAGGAAGCGGCUCACAAAAGCAGCAGGAUCUGGGAUACAGCAGAAUACACUGUACCAGUGCAGGCAAGUCUGCAGUUAAUGUCAGUUCAAUAUUCAGAAUUCAGAUUUUCUGCCCGCUUUUAUAUCCUCCUUUAACUGGCUCAUGCUGUUGAAUUAAACUUCUAGCUGGAACGCUUGAUUUCUCAAUCUAUCACCAGACCCAGAUAUGAAACUUCAUAUAAAAUUGUGAAGGAAAUUACUUCACCCUCAGCCCAAACAAUUACAAGCACUGUUGACCCAAGCAAAGGGCUAAAUAAGGAUUGAUGAGGUGUGGCAGGACCAAUGGUUUGGGUAGUUCCUUCUACAGCUUCCUCCUAUAGAAAGCUACAACAAUCUAAAAAGUCAAGUUCCCUAUCUUAUAUUUGAGGAGGACAGGUUGAAACUGUCUCUAAGUGGCAAGAAACCUUGAGUAAGAACUUGUUUCUUGACAACGGGCAGAUGUGUGAAUUAUAAUGCAACUGUUAAAAUCCUGUGAGGUCACGGGUUCUCUGUGGAAUCCAUGAAAAACCUUCCUAAGUAAGUGAAAGAUAUCUACAUUUUUUUGUGUUGAAAGAAAGAUACAUUGACAACAUCAUGAAAUUUUAAGGUACUCUCUGUCUAGGCACUUGUAGAUCUCAUGUAUGUAAAGCAGCUCUUUUCUUCACAGCUGUACUGUUAACACUCAUUAUAAUACCCAAAUAAUUGACUUCUACCAAGCUGCCCUGCUUGUAUCCUGCAGUGAAGUCAUAGCCUCCAGUUUGAACCAUCAUGCAGCUGCCAUAGAAACAGCUUUAGGUGUCACAGGCUUAUCUUGAAUUCACUGGAGACAUUUGGCUCAUUAAUUCAAAUGUCAAGGAAAAUGUAUCAACGUAAAAGAGCUUCAAUCAGGGACUGUAAUUGAAAAUAAAAAAGUUUCCUAAUGUGGGGUUUUCUUCUGC
ensembl:lncRNA